rnacentral:rRNA from 1 species
GAUGAACGCUAGCUACAGGCUUAACACAUGCGAGUCGAGGGGAAACGAUGAGAGAGCUUGCUCUCUUAGUCGUCGACCGGCGCACGGGUGAGUAACGCGUAUCCAACCUGCCUCUGACCAAGGGAUAACCCGUCGAAAGUCGGACUAAUACCUUAUGCAGUCGUCGGAAGUCAUCUGAUGACGACGAAAGAUUUCAUCGGUGAGAGAUGGGGAUGCGUCUGAUUAGCUUGUUGGCGGGGUAACGGCCCACCAAGGCGACGAUCAGUAGGGGUUCUGAGAGGAAGGUCCCCCACAUUGGAACUGAGACACGGUCCAAACUCCUACGGGAGGCAGCAGUGAGGAAUAUUGGUCAAUGGGCGUAAGCCUGAACCAGCCAAGUAGCGUGCAGGAUGACGGCCCUAUGGGUUGUAAACUGCUUUUAUGCGGGGAUAAAGUGAGGGACGUGUCCUUCAUUGCAGGUACCGCAUGAAUAAGGACCGGCUAAUUCCGUG